CACAGGUACAGAGUCACAGGUACAGAGUUACAGGUACAGAGUUACAGUCACAGAGUCACAGGUACAGGCACAGAGUCACAGGUACAGAGUCACAGGUACAGAGUCACAGGUACAGUGUUACAGUCAGAGAGUUACAGGUACAGAGUUACAGUCACAGAGUCACAGGUACAGAGUCACAGGUACAGAGUCACAGGUACAGAGUUACUGGUACAGAGUCACAGGUACAGGCACAGAGUCACAGGUACAGAGUCACAGGUACAGAGUUACAGGUACAGAGUUACAGGUACAGAGUCACAGGUACAGAGUCACAGGUACAGAGUCACAGGUACAGUGUUACAGUUAUAGAGUCA
ensembl:lncRNA